UACGUAGGGACCAAGCGUUGUUCGGAUUUACUGGGCGUAAAGGGCGCGUAGGCGGCGUGGUAAGUCACUUGUGAAAUCUCUGAGCUUAACUCAGAACGGCCAAGUGAUACUGCUGUGCUAGAGUGCAGAAGGGGCAAUCGGAAUUCUUGGUGUAGCGGUGAAAUGCGUAGAUAUCAAGAGGAACACCUGAGAUGAAGACGGGUUGCUGGGCUGACACUGACGCUGAGGCGCGAAAGCCAGGGGAGCAAACGGG
rnacentral:rRNA from 1 species